AUUACUGCUAAGACUGGAUAGGAAGAAAUAAGGCAUCUUAUUUCUUUUAAAAGACCUAGUAAUAGGUAUACUUUAGGAGGGGCUUGCGCCAUAUUAGUUAGUUGGUAGGGUAAUGGCCUACCAAGACGAUGAUGUGUAGCUGGACUGAGAGGUUGAACAGCCACAUUGGGACUGAGACACGGCCCAAACUCCUACGGGAGGCAGCAGUAAGGAAUUUUCGGCAAUGGAGGAAACUCUGACCGAACAACGCCGCGUGAACGACGAAGUACUUUGGUAUGUAAAGUUCUUUUAUCAAGGAAGAAAAGCAAGUGGCGAACCAUUUGUUUGCCGGUACUUGAUGAAUAAGCCCCGGCUAAUUAUGUGCCAGCAGCCGCGGUAAGACAUAAGGGGCAAGUGUUAUCCGGAAUUAUUGGGCGUAAAGGGUGCGUAGGCGGUCUAGUAAGUCAGUGGUGUAAUGGCAACGCUCAACGUUGUCCGGCUAUUGAAACUGCUAAACUUGAGUUAGAUAGAGGCGAGUGGAAUUCCAUGUGUAGCGGUAAAAUGCGUAAAUAUAUGGAGGAACACCAGAGGCGUAGGCGGCUCGCUGGGUCUUAACUGACGCUGAGGCACGAAAGCGUGGGGAGCAAACAGGAUUAGAUACCCUGGUAGACCACGCCGUAAACGAUGAGUACUAAGUGUCGGGUUAAACCGGUACUGAAGUUAACACAUUAAGUACUCCGCCUGAGUAGUACGUACGCAAGUAUGAAACUUAAAGGAAUUGACGGGACUCCGCACAAGCGGUGGAUCAUGUUGUUUAAUUCGAAGAUACCCGAAAAACCUUACCAGGUCUUGACAUGCUUUUGCGAAACGGUAGUAAUAUCGUAGAGGUUAUCAGAAACACAGGUGGUGCAUGGUUGUCGUCAGCUCGUGUCGUGAGAUGUUAGGUUAAGUCCUAAAACGAGCGAAACCCUUAUCGUUAGUUGCCAGCACGUUAUGGUGGGGACUUUAACGAGACUGCCAGUGAUAAACUGGAGGAAGGUGAGGAUCACGUCAAAUCAGCAUGCCCCUUAUGACCUGGGCUACAAACGUGAUACAAUGGCUGUUACAAAGGGUAGCUGAAACGUAAGUUCUUGGCCAAUCCCCAAAAACAGUCUCAGUCCGGAUUGAAGUCUGCAACCCGACUUCAUGAAGUUGGAAUCGCUAGUAAUCGCGAAUCAGCAUGUCGCGGUGAAUACGUUCUCGGGGUUUGUACACACCGCCCGUCA
rnacentral:rRNA from 1 species